rnacentral:rRNA from 1 species
GACGAACGCUGGCGGCGUGCCUAAUACAUGCAAGUUGAGCGCUGAAGGUUGGUACUUGUACCAACUGGAUGAGCAGCGAACGGGUGAGUAACGCGUGGGGAAUCUGCCUUUGAGCGGGGGACAACAUUUGGAAACGAAUGCUAAUACCGCAUAAAAACUUUAAACACAAGUUUUAAGUUUGAAAGAUGCCAUUGCAUCACUCAAAGAUGAUCCCGCGUUGUAUUAGCUAGUUGGUGAGGUAAAGGCUCACCAAGGCGAUGAUACAUAGCCGACCUGAGAGGGUGAUCGGCCACAUUGGGACUGGGACACGGCACAAACUCCUACGGGAGGCAGCAGUAGGGAAUCUUCGGCAAUGGACGAAAGUCUGACCGAGCAACGCCGCGUGAGUGAAGAAGGUUGUCGGAUCGUAAAACUCUGUUGGUAGAGAAGAACGUUGGUGAGAGUGGAAAGCUCAUCAAGUGACGGUAACUACCCAGAAAGGGACGGCUAACUACGUG